CUUCUUCGAUCUGUUGAGGGCAAAUAAAGUGAAUAUGCGAAUCAAUUCCCCCAGCGGUAAGGAUUUGUCCUUCUCCUGCAACCACUUCAGUUCCCGGGCCUAUGAUGAUAUCAACCCCGUCUUGAAUAUCUGGGUUACCCGCCUUACCAAUGCCACUGAUGCGGCCGCCUUUUACGGCAACAUCGGCUUUCACAAUGCCCCAGUAAUCAAGCACCACCACAUUGGUGAUCACCAUAUCGGGAGUUUCAUUGCUUGGCCGCUGGCUUUGUCCCAUCCCAUCACGAAUG
rnacentral:sRNA from 1 species